GGGACAGUAGGUUGGUCGUGCCACCGGUACGUACUGGUCUCACUGAUUCCUCCUUCCUGAAGAACCGUAAUGCCAUUAAUUUGGUGUUGCGGGGAAACAGGACUGUUACUUUGAAAAAAUUAGAGUGUUUAAAGCAAGCUAACGCUUGAACACAUUAGCAUGGAAUAAUGAAAUAGGACGAUCGAUCCUAUUUUGUUGGUUUCUAGGAUUGACGUA
rnacentral:rRNA from 1 species